rnacentral:tRNA from 1 species
UGUGGAUCUAGCUCAGUGGUAGAUUGCUUGUCUAACAUAAAUGAGUCCCUGGGUUCAAUUCCCAGUAACACAA